rnacentral:tRNA from 1 species
UUAAUUGAAAAAUUUACUGUUAAUAAAUUAAAGAAUUAACAAUUCCAAUUAAA